rnacentral:rRNA from 1 species
AACGAACGCUGGCGGCAGGCUUAACACAUGCAAGUCGAACGGUUGUAGCAAUACAGCAGUGGCAGACGGGUGAGUAACACGUGGGAACCUUCCUAGGGGCACGGAACAACUCAGGGAAACUUGAGCUAAUACCGUAUACGUCCGUGAGGAGAAAGAUUUAUCGCCCUUAGACGGGCCCGCGUCGGAUUAGCUAGUUGGUGGGGUAACGGCCUACCAAGGCGACGAUCCGUAGCUGAUCUUAGAGGAUGAUCAGCCACACUGGGACUGAGACGCGGCCCAGACUCCUACGGGAGGCAGGAGUGGGGAAUCUUGGACAAUGGGCGCAAGCCUGAUCCAGCCAUGACGCGUGAGUGAAGAAGGUCUUCGGAUUGUAAAGCUCUUUUGCCAGGGACGAUAAUGACGGUACCUGGAGAAUAAGCCCCGGCAAACUUCGUGCCAGCCGCCGCAGUAA